rnacentral:misc_RNA from 1 species
GCUUCUAAUUGGAAAUGGCUUCCACGGCGAGUAUUGUAGUCUGUGUAGACGACUUCACCGAGCUAGAGAGAUUAGAGAUGCAGGAGAUCGACAGCGACCUCCUAAUGGAACUGCUUGAAGACGCUCUCCCGGAGAGAGCAGGAGAUGAUACGGUGGAUUCCCUCAUCCGAUCACUACAGGAAGAGAUUCAAUCGGCUCGCCUUUCAGAAGUCAACAUUUCCAUGGAGCCUGUCGACAUGGAGGACAUCCUACUGUUUCUCAACGAU